UGAAUACGAGAUGCUACGGCGUCGAAGCAGUGUAUGUCAGACUUCCAAGAAAAGCUCGCAAUGUCAUAAAUAAAGAAUGCCUGUACCAUAACCGACACAGGUGGGUAGGUAGAGUAUACUAAGGGGCGCGAGAUAACUCUCUCUAAGGAACUCGGCAAAAUAACUCCGUAACUUCGGGAGAAGGAGUGCCUUCUUUAAGAAGGUUGCAAUAACAAGAUCCAAGCAACUGUUUAUCAAAAACACAGGUCUCCGCUAAGUCGUAAGACGAUGUAUGGGGGCUGACGCCUGCCCAGUGCCAGAAGGUUAAAGAAGUUGGUUAGCUUUUGCGAAGCUGAUGACUGAAGCCCUGGUGAACGGCGGCCGUAGCAAUAACGGUCCUAAGGUAGCGAAAUUCCUUGUCGGGUAAGUUCCGACCCGCACGAAAGGCGUAAUGAUUUGGAUACUGUCUCGGAGAGGGACUCGGUGAAAUAGACUUGUCUGUGAAGAUGCGGACUACCUGCACCAGGACAGAAAGACCCUAUGAAGCUUUACUGUAACUUGAAAUUGAAAUUGGACUUUAUUUGCGCAGUAUAGGUGGAAGGCGUUGAAAGUAAUCUUGCGGGAUUAGUGGAGCCAUCAGUGAGAUACCACUCCUAUAAUGUUAGAUUUCUAACUUUGGAUCAUGAUCUGGUCAAAGAACAGUUUCAGGCGGGCAGUUUGACUGGGGCGGUCGCCUCCCAAAUGGUAACGGAGGCGUACAGAGGUUUCCUCUGAACGGGUAGAAAUCGUAUCUAGAGUGUAAAGGCAUAAGGAAGCUUGACUGUGAGACCUACAAGUCGAGCAGGGACGAAAGUCGGUCUUAGUGAUCUGACGGUGCUGAGUGGAAAGGCCGUCACUCAACGGAUAAAAGUUACUCUAGGAUGACAGGCUGAUCUCCCCCAAGAGUUCACAUCGACGGGGAGGUUUGGCACCUCGAUGUCGGCUCAUCGCAUCCUGGGGCGGUAGUACGUCCCAAGGGUUGGGCUGUUCGCCCAUGAAAGCGGUACGCGAGCUGGGUUCAGAACGUCGUGAGACAGUUCGGUCCAUAUCCGGUGUAGGCGUUAGAAUAUUGAGAGGAGCCUUCUUUAGUACGAGAGGACCGAGAAGGACAUACCUCUGGUGUACCAGUUAUCGUGCCAACGGUAAACGCUGGGUAGCUAUGUAUGGAGAGGAUAACCGCUGAAAGCAUCUAAGUGGGAAGCCCACCUCAAGAUGAG
rnacentral:rRNA from 1 species